rnacentral:rRNA from 1 species
GCUUAAUACAUGCAAGUCGAGGGGUAACAGGCCGCUUCGGUGGUGCUGACGACCGGCGCACGGGUGCGUAACGCGUAUGCAACCUACCUUUAACUGGGACAUAGCCCCGAGAAAUCGGGAUUAAUAUCCCAUAAUAUCCAGAAAACGCAUGUUUUCUCGGAUUACAGUUCCGGCGGUUAAAGAUGGGCAUGCGUGGCAUUAGUUAGUUGGUGAGGUAACGGCUCACCAAGGCAAUGAUGCCUAGGGGUCCUGAGAGGGUUUUCCCCCACACUGGUACUGAGACACGGACCAGACUCCUACGGGAGGCAGCAGUAAGGAAUAUUGGGCAAUAGGCGCAAGCCUGACCCAGCCAUGCCGCGUGCAGGAUGACGGCCCUAUGGGUUGUAAACUGCUUUUGUAUGGGAAAAAACUCCCGCACGUGUGCGGGACUGAUUGUACCAAUACGAAUAAGCAUCGGCUAACUCCGUGCCAGCAGGCGAGGACAAUACCGGAGGAUGCAAGCGUUAUCCAGGAUACAUAAGGGUCAAAGGGUGCGCAGGCGGAUUAGUAAGUCAGUGGUGAAAGCUCCCGGCUCAACCGGGAAAAGGCCAUUGAUACUGUUAAUCUUGAGUACAGAUGAGGUAAGCGGACUGCAUCAUGGUAGCGGUGAAAUGCAUAGAUAUGAUACAGAACACCGAUAGCGAAGGCAGCUUACCAAACUGUAACUGACGCUCAUGCACGAAAGCGUGGGGAGCAAACAGGAUUAGAUACCCUGGUAGUCCACGCUGUAAACUAUGAUCACUCGCUGUUGGCGAUACACUGUCAGCGGCUUAGCGGAAGUGUUAAGUGAUCCACCUGGGGAGUACGAUCGCAAGGUUGAAACUCAAAGGAAUUGACGGGGGCCCGCACAAGCGGAGGAGCAUGUGGUUUAAUUCGAUGAUACGCGAGGAACCUUACCUGGGCUUAAAUGCAGAACGACCUCCCGAGAAAUUGGGACUUCCUUCGGGACGGACUGCAAGGUGCUGCAUGGUUGUCGUCAGCUCGUGCUGUGAGGUGUCGGGUUAAGUCCCAUAACGAGCGCAACCCUUAUCCUUAGUUGCCAACAGGUAAUGCUGGGAACUCUAAGGAAACUGCCUACGCAAGUAGUGAGGAAGGUGGGGAUGACGUCAAAUCAGCACGGCCCUUAUGUCCAGGGCUACACACGUGCUACAAUGGUCGGUACAGAGGGCAGCUACCUGGCAACAGGAUGCUAAUCUCGAAAGCCGGUCUCAGUUCGGAUUGGAGUCUGCAACUCGACUCCAUGAAGUUGGAUUCGCUAGUAAUCGCGCAUCAGCCAUGGCGCGGUGAUACGUUCCCGGGCCUUGUACACACCGCCCGUCAAGCCAUGGAAGCUGGGAGUAC